rnacentral:rRNA from 1 species
CCUACGGGAGGCAGCAGUGAGGAAUAUUGGUCAAUGGACGAGAGUCUGAACCAGCCAAGUAGCGUGAAGGAUGACUGCCCUAUGGGUUGUAAACUUCUUUUAUAUCGGAAUAAAAUGUUCCACGUGUGGGAUUUUGUAUGUACCAUAUGAAUAAGGAUCGGCUAACUCCGUGCCAGCAGCCGCGGUAAUACGGAGGAUCCGAGCGUUAUCCGGAUUUAUUGGGUUUAAAGGGAGCGUAGGUGGAUUGUUAAGUCAGUUGUGAAAGUUUGCGGCUCAACCGUAAAAUUGCAGUUGAAACUGGCAGUCUUGAGUACAGUAGAGGUGGGCGGAAUUCGUGGUGUAGCGGUGAAAUGCUUAGAUAUCACGAAGAACUCCGAUUGCGAAGGCAGUUCACUGGACUGCAACUGACACUGAGGCUCGAAAGUGUGGGUAUCAAACAGGAUUAGAGACCCGGGUAGUC